ACGGCUGCGCAUGUGAGCGUUCGGCGUCCCGUUUGUAUUUAUUUCGUGUGUAGCUCACUUGCACACCCCGCGUAUCUUUCCGUUUCUGCUGCACAUUGACACGGCACUCCUGCGUCAUUGAAACCCGGCAAGUUGCAGAAGUCCGUGCACAAGAUGAAGUGAGGCACCAAGCAGCAGCGCCACUCGUCGCUAUUGGAACCGGCUCGCGGACUUCCGCUGCUUCAACCAAUCGGAGCACUCUCCUCGCGGAUUCUUUACAUCAGGACGGGAAUCAAAACAUCGAUGAUGCCCUUUCACACUCGGCGAAGUCGGCCAAUUCUGCAACAUGAGCGAGAAAAAACAGUGCCUGAGAGAAAAAAAGAAAUAAAACAGAGAGGAGAGGGAGCUUAGCACAGUCUCCAAGACACUGUGCUGCAGCCUGGCACACCAUAAUCUCGGGGGCCAAUUUCUUGCGCCAUUCUGUGCGUUCGCUUGUUCACAGGCAUGUGAAACCUCGCUGUUAACGAGCAGUGGUGUAUGGCAAAAAGUAGUCUGUUCUGCAGCAUUGAAUUUGAGUCGAAGGCGUGGC